GCAGAGACCAGCUCCCAGGCGGUGGCCCUGGUGGAAGGUUUCCUCCUGAGCCAGGCGGAGGAGAAGAAGAAGAAGACUGACUGGCAGUCCUUCAUGAGGGAGAUCAGAGAUCCUGGGAGGAGGCAUCCAUCAAAUUCACCUCCAGAAAUGUUUUUCAGGAGGAUCUCUCAGAAUGAUCCAAAUCAAGACACGACCAGAGGGAAGAAUAGAAGGAAGCUGGCCCUCCCUGAUGGCGGAGCUGAAACAGUGGUUGAAACUCCAAUUCAAGU